GAUGAAGAACGCAGCGAAAUGCGAUACUUGGUGUGAAUUGCAGAAUUCAGUGAAUCAUCGAGUCUUUGAACGCACAUUGCGCCCCCUGGUAUUCCGGGGGGCAUGCCUGUCCGAGCGUCAUUGCUGCCCUCAAGCCCGGCUUGUGUGUUGGGUCUCGUCCCCCUUCCCGGGGGGGCGGGCCCGAAAGGCAGCGGCGGCACCGCGUCCGGUCCUCGAGCGUAUGGGGCUUUGUCACCCGCUCUGUAGGCCCGGCCGGCGCUUGCCGAUCAACCAAAACUUUUUUCCAGGUUGACCUCGGAUCAGGUAGGGAUACCCGCUGAACUUAAGCAUAUCAAUAAGCGGAGGA
rnacentral:misc_RNA from 1 species